rnacentral:rRNA from 1 species
UAACAAGGUCUCCGUUGGUGAACCAGCGGAGGGAUCAUUACCGAGUUUACAACUCCCAAACCCCUGUGAACAUACCACUUGUUGCCUCGGCGGAUCAGCCCGCUCCCGGUAAAACGGGACGGCCCGCCAGAGGACCCCUAAACUCUGUUUCUAUAUGUAACUUCUGAGUAAAACCAUAAAUAAAUCAAAACUUUCAACAACGGAUCUCUUGGUUCUGGCAUCGAUGAAGAACGCAGCAAAAUGCGAUAAGUAAUGUGAAUUGCAGAAUUCAGUGAAUCAUCGAAUCUUUGAACGCACAUUGCGCCCGCCAGUAUUCUGGCGGGCAUGCCUGUUCGAGCGUCAUUUCAACCCUCAAGCACAGCUUGGUGUUGGGACUCGCGUUAAUUCGCGUUCCUCAAAUUGAUUGGCGGUCACGUCGAGCUUCCAUAGCGUAGUAGUAAAACCCUCGUUACUGGUAAUCGUCGCGGCCACGCCGUUAAACCCCAACUUCUGAAUGUGACCUCGAUCAG